rfam:Planctomycetes bacterium RBG_13_46_10 RBG_13_scaffold_831, whole genome shotgun sequence.
GGUCAAGUUACAAAGGGUGUAUGGGGGAUGUCUAGGCGUCGAGAGGCGAAGAAGGACGUGGCAGACUGCGAUAAGCCCGGGGCAGGUGUCGAGCAACCGUUAAUCCCGGGAUCUCCGAAUGGGGAAACCCGGCGGAACUGGGCAACCAGUUUCCGUCACCUGCGGCUGAAUGUAUAGGCCGUAUGGAGCGAACGCAGGGAACUGAAACAUCUUAGUACCUGUAGGAAAAGAAAUCAACCGAGACUCCGUCAGUAGCGGCGAGCGAACGCGGAAAAGCCCAAACCAGAGGGCUUGCUCUCUGGGGUUGUGGGCGCCGGUAAGCAGUUACAAAGGCAUCGCCAGCAGAAUCCGCUGGAAAGCGGAACCGUAGAAGGUGAUAGUCCUGUAUGCAAAAGCGAGAGCUCUGCGUUAUUGCCGGCGUUCCAGAGUAGCACGGAGCUCGUGGAACUCUGUGUGAAUCUGGGGGGUCCACCCUCCAAGGCUAAGUACUACCCGACGACCGAUAGUGAAAAGUAGCGCGAGCGAACGAUGAAAAGUACCCCUAUUAGGGGAGUUAAAAGUACCUGAAACCAUACACCUACAAGCUGUGGAAGCCCUAUGACCAGCCUUCGGGCUGGUAACGGGUGACCGCGUGCCUUUUGCAUAAUGAACCGGCGAGUUAUUGUCUGCGGCAAGGUUAAGCACCUAAGGUGCGGAGCCAUAGCGAAAGCGAGUCUUAACAGGGCGAAUUAGUCGCAGGUAAUAGACGCGAAACCACGUGAUCUACCCAUGGCCAGGUUGAAGGGGAUGUAAAAAUUCCUGGAGGACCGAACUCACUAACGUUGAAAAGUUAGGGGAUGAGCUGUGGGGAGGAGUGAAAGUCUAAUCAAACGUGGAGAUAUCUCGUUCUCUCCGAAAUAGCUUUUGGGCUAGCCUUGAGCCACUACUUUACGGGGGUAGAGCUACUGAAUGGGGACAGGGGGCCACCAGCCUACCAGCCCCAACCAAACUCCGAAUACCGUAAAGAUUAUCUCAGGAGUCAGACUGUGGGGGAUAACCUUCAUAGUCGAGAGGGAAACAACCCAGAUCGCCAGCUAAGGUCCCGAAUGCCUGCUAAGUUCUUAAGGAAGUCGAAUUGCGGUGACAGCCAGGAUGUUGGCUUAGAAGCAGCCACCAUUUAAAAAGUGCGUAAUAGCUUACUGGUCGAGCAGUUUGGCGCCGACGAUGACCGGGAAUAAGCAGGCUACCGAAGCUGCGGCCCUCCGAAGCCUUGUGCAGAGGAGGGGGUAGGAGAGCGUUGCUGUCAGCGCUGAAGCCGUAUGGUAACAAGCGGUGGAGCGGCAGCAAGUGACGAUGCCGGUAUGAGUAACGAUAAAACAGGUGAGAAUCCUGUUCGCCGUAAGCCUAAGGUUUCCUGGGGAAGGUAAAUCCGCCCAGGGUUAGUCGGCCCUUAGUCAAGGCCGAAAGGCGUAGACGAUGGACAGCAGGUUAAUAUUCCUGCAC